rnacentral:rRNA from 1 species
UACGAAGGGGACUAGCGUUGUUCGGAAUUACUGGGCGUAAAGCGCACGUAGGCGGCCAACUAAGUCAGACGUGAAAUCCCCAGGCUCAACCUGGGAACUGCGUCUGAUACUGGAUGGCUUGAAUCCGGGAGAGGGAUGCAGAAUUCCAGGUGUAGCGGUGAAAUGCGUAGAUAUCUGGAGGAAUACCGGUGGCGAAGGCGGCAUCCUGGACCGGCAUUGACGCUGAGGAGCGAAAGCUAGGGGAGCAAACGGG